rnacentral:rRNA from 1 species
CAGCAGCCGCGGGAAUACGGAGGAUCCAAGCGUUAUCCGGAUUUAUUGGGUUUAAAGGGUGCGUAGGUGGCCUGUUAAGUCAGGGGUGAAAGACGGUAGCUCAACUAUCGCAGUGCCCUUGAUACUGAUGGGCUUGAAUGAACUAGAGGUAGGCGGAAUGUGACAAGUAGCGGUGAAAUGCAUAGAUAUGUCACAGAACACCAAUUGCGAAGGCAGCUUACUAUGGUUUUAUUGACACUGAGGCACGAAAGCGUGGGGAUCAAACAGGAUUAGAUACCCGGGUAGUCCCUGUCUCUUAUAC